rnacentral:rRNA from 1 species
GACGAACGCUGGCGGCGUGCCUAAUACAUGCAAGUAGAACGCACAGUUUAUACCGUAGCUUGCUACACCAUAGACUGUGAGUUGCGAACGGGUGAGUAACGCGUAGGUAACCUGCCUGGUAGCGGGGGAUAACUAUUGGAAACGAUAGCUAAUACCGCAUAAUAUUAAUUAUUGCAUGAUAAUUAAUUGAAAGGUGCAAUUGCACCACUACCUGAUGGACCUGCGUUGUAUUAGCUAGUACGUGAGGUAACGGCUCACCUAGGCGACGAUACAUAACCGACCUCAGAGAGUGAUCGGCCACCCUGGAACUGAGACAGGGCUCAUACAUCUACGGCAGGCAGCAGUAGCGAAUCUUCGGGCAGAGACGAGAGUCUGACCGAGCAACGCCGCGUGAGUGCAGAAGGUUCUCGGAUCGUAAAUCUCAGUUGUAAGAGAAGAACGGGUGUGGCAAUGAAAAGUUCACACUGUGACGGUACCUUACCAGAAAGGCACGGCUAACUACGUG